rnacentral:rRNA from 1 species
GCGCGAAAACUUUACAAUGCUGGGAACAGCGAUAAGGGAACCUCGAGUGCCAGGUUACAAAUCUGGCUGUCGUGAUGCCUAAAAAGCAUUAUAUAGCAAGGGCCGGGCAAGACCGGUGCCAGCCGCCGCGGUAACACCGGCGGCUCGAGUGGUAACCGUUAUUAUUGGGUCUAAAGGGUCUGUAGCCGGCCGGAUAAGUCUCUUGGGAAAUCUGGCAGCUUAACUGUCAGGCUUUCAGGGGAUACUGUCUGGCUCGAGGCCGGGAGAGGUGAGAGGUACUUCAGGGGUAGGGUGAAAUCUUGUAAUCCUUGAAGGACCACCAGUGGCGAAGGCGUCUCACCAGAACGGACCUGACGGCAAGGGACGAAAGCUAGGGGCACGAACCGGAUUAGAAACCCUU